UACGUAGGGUGCAAGCGUUAAUCGGAAUUACUGGGCGUAAAGCGUGCGCAGGCGGCUUUGCAAGACAGAUGUGAAAUCCCCGGGCUCAACCUGGGAAUGGCAUUUGGGACUGCAAGGCUGGAGUGCGGCAGAGGAGACUGGAAUUCCUGGUGUAGCAGUGAAAUGCGUAGAUAUCAGGAGGAAUACCGAUGGCGAAGGCAGGUCUCUGGGCUGACACUGACGCUCAUGCACGAAAGCGUGGGGAGCAAACAGG
rnacentral:rRNA from 1 species